rnacentral:rRNA from 1 species
UACGUAGGGUGCGAGCGUUAAUCGGAAUUACUGGGCGUAAAGCGUGCGCAGGCGGUCUGUUAAGACCGAUGUGAAAUCCCCGGGCUUAACCUGGGAACUGCAUUGGUGACUGGCAGGCUUUGAGUGUGGCAGAGGGAGGUAGAAUUCCACGUGUAGCGGUGAAAUGCGUAGAUAUCUGGAGGAAUACCGGUGGCGAAGGCGGCAUCCUGGACCGGCAUUGACGCUGAGGAGCGAAAGCCAGGGGAGCAAACGGG